rnacentral:rRNA from 1 species
UACGUAGGGUGCGAGCGUUAAUCGGAAUUACUGGGCGUAAAGCGUGCGCAGGCGGCUUCGCAAGUCAGGCGUGAAAUCCCCGGGCUUAACCGUGGGAAUGGCCGUUGAAACUGGCGAACUGGAGUGUGGCAGGAGGGGGGUGGAAUUCCGCGUGUAGCAGUGAAAUGCGUAGAGAUGCGGAGGAACACCGAUGGCGAAGGCAGCCCCCCUGGGCUAACACUGACGCUCGAGGCACGAAAGCGUGGGGAGCAAACAGG